rnacentral:sRNA from 1 species
GCUAGGCUUGGUGGUGCACACCUGUAAUCCCUGUAACUUGGGAGGCUGAGACAGGAGGAUUUGAAGUUCAAGGCCAGCCUGAGCAACUUAGUGAGGUCCUAAGCAACUUGACCCUGUCUCAA